rnacentral:rRNA from 1 species
CCUACGGGCGGCAGCAGUGGGGGAUAUUGCACAAUGGUGGAAACACUGAUGCAGCGACGCCGCGUGAGUGAAGAAGUAUUUCGGUAUGUAAAGCUCUAUCAGCAGGGAAGAAAAUGACAGUACCUGACCAAGAAGCCCCGUCUAACUACGUGCCAGCAGCCGCGGUAAUACGUCGGGGGCAAUCGUUAUCCGGAUUUACUGGAGGUAAAGGGAGCGUAGACGGUUAUGUAAGUCUGGAGUGAAAGCCCGGGGCCCAACCCCGGGACUGCUGUGGAAACUGUGUAACUGGAGUACAGGAGGGGCAGGCGGAAUGCGUGGGGUAGCGGUGAAAUGCGUAGAUAUCAGGAGGAACCCCGGCGGCGAAGGCGGCCUGCUGGACUGAAACUGACGUUGAGGCUCGAAAGCGUGGGGAGCAAACAGGAUUAGAUACCCGUGUAGUC